rnacentral:lncRNA from 1 species
UUGCGGUCCUUACUGAUCUGUUGGCGCAACAGACGGCAGCGGCGCAGCGACAGGCUGAGGUGGCUCAGCGGCAGGAGGCGCGGAUGAAGCAUCUUGAGGACCUCCUACUUCAGCAGGCGGCAGCUUCGAGGUAGACCCAGGUUCCCACACCGCCAGCACCCGUGGUGGACGUCGCGCGGAGGGCACAGCCCCCCGCGCCCAGUUCUUCACGUGCGGCACAGGCGACCACACCUCGUGAGGAGGUGGCUGCGGCACCCCCAGUUCAGAGACCGGCCACGGGGCAGCUUUCCCCGUGAGGGCCGAAGGAGCCGAGCGGGAUCGGCUCGUGGAUCUCCAAAGUGAGUUCAGGAGGUGCAGUCCAAGGACGUUUGAUGGCGAGAACGUCGACCACUGGAUUGUUGAGAAGUGGUUGAUGCACAUGGAGAAGCUUUUUCGAGACACCUUUGUGGAGGAGCGGGACAGAGUUUGGGUCGCCACUCACUUUCUCGAUGGCGUGGCCUACCGUUGGUGGUUGGAUAUCCAGGACAACCCCAACACCGACUUGGCAGCAAUUACUUGGACGAGGUUCAAGGAGCUCCUUCUGGCGCACUGGACGCACUGGACCUUUGAAAUCAAGGUUCGAGUGUUUGGGUUAUUUCGAGCUUUUCCACACUUGGUGGAGGUUGUAGAAUUCUUCACCUAAAAAAGUUCCGACAAAUGCGGGAUUCUGGACGAAGUCCUGAGAAGUUUUCACUCUCGGGACUCGUCCUGGAAGAGACCUGUCCCGCCCCAGUGAGCAGUGUUGAGGCCGGCCGAGCAAACCGGUCCUCUGACAGGCCGAGACCGGUCCCCGAGCAGCUCUCGCAGUGAGAGACCCGUCCCGCGUAGGAGAGACCGGUUCCCGAACGUAGUUUCGGAUUCGCAGGCGAGAGACGGUCCGCCUGCUGGGGAGAGACCGUCCCUCUGGGCGAAAACUGCCAACAACCGGGCUGUUGCAAAUUAAUGGAUUUUUGAGGGGCCUCACUGGAUUUUGUUACAUUAGAUGGGCUUUUAGCCAUUUCCUCCUCUUCCCUCUCUCAUUCUCUCAUUCUCACCCUCUCCCUACAUUUUCUAGAGAGAGAAGAAGAAGAAGAAAAAGGAGGAGAAGAAGAAGAGGAGCUACUCUGAGCGGAGCUUGGAGCUCAACCCCUUUCUCUCUUUCCCACCUUUGCAAGGCUUGAGGCUUGCUUGUAGAGCUUAGUGGUGGACAAACUUCAACCCUAGGGUAUUUUGGGCUUGGUUGAAGCUUCCAAAGGGUUAGUUCAUGUUUCCCUCCUCGAGAUUCUAUUUUUGUGAUUUUGGGAGAUGAAGCCCUAGAAAUGAGAUUUAGGGCUUAUUUUGGCUUUUUGAUCUAGGCUUUGCCAAAUCGAUUGCUUAGAACUUCCUAGGGCUGGAUGGAAGGGUUCUAGCUGCUCUCUGGAGCUUUGGAGAGAUUUCUACUCUUGAGCUAAAUUUUGGCCCUUUUUGCUCUAGGUUUAAUUUUUAAUCUCUCGAUGGUCGUAAUGCCCUCGAUCUCUUCGCUGAUUACUUUUAGGGUAUUGUGAGACUCGUGCGACACUCCGUUCGUGAUUCGAAGGACACGCGACGGUUCGGUGGUUUGACCUAGCUUAUCAUGAGAACAUACUCAUAUAUGAUGAAAUGGGUUUCGUAAAUUGAAAAACAUCGCUCAUGUAGAAUAUAGUUUAUUGUGAAUUUUAGGAUGUUUAAGAUGCCUAGUUAUGUGUAAGGAAAUUUCGGACCCCUAUAUAGUAGAGAACUAGCAUGUGUACUUGCAGCAUAUUUGCAUCCUUUUAGACUGGAAUCAUAAACUCCUAUUUGUGAAAAUGAGCACCUCUUGCAUGCAUUUAGGGACUAUCCUAUUUGAACUUGAAGGUUCUGGUAGCGCAUAAAGAGGCUCGGGGACUUGUGUUAUUGGGAAUAGUUGGCCUAAUGUCAUGAAGGGGCAUUGAGCUCGGUCAUGUGUAAACCUAUGGGAUAGUGCCAUUGAAAGAGUUAGAUAUACUUGUUCAUUAAAAUGUCUAAGUGUCAUAAAGGGGCACAAACUUUUAGUAUAUUGGGACUCAUUGUGAAUUAAACUAGAUCUUGCGGAUGCAAGUGACAUACCAUGUUAGAGACAUGAGGAUUGGAUAUUGAGACGACUACGCUUGCUUGCAUUUUGCUCAUCUGCACAUGCUUGUGAGGGUCGCUCCUACAAGCCGGCACUCCGGAGUUAGCCUACGCGACUACGGUUCGCGUCGUGCGGUAUUGAGAAGCCUACGGGGUCGAGUGGGACAGACACAUUCCAAGAGUAGGAAUGUCGGGCUACCACAGGCACUUAGGCGGCACAAGCUGGACUACCUUGGGUGGGUUCUUAAUUGGAAAUGGGAAUCGACACAGUGUUGAGAAUGAAUAAUCACUACUAGAUAGGUUUAGUAGUUGGAUUACUUUGACAUGCUCAUGAUAUAGCAUUGGUACAUAUAGCACGCUUGCCGGUUUCAUUGUUGCAUUGUAGUAUACUCGGUUGCUUGGUUAGAGCUUACUCUUUAUGCAUUGGACAUAUUAUCUUAUGAUAGCGUAGAUAUACAUCACCAUGACAUCAUGUUUACUUGAGAUAUAGCGGUUAGCUCUUCAAAUAUUCUUUCGUAUUGUUGUUGCUAUUACUCUUAUUAUUGCUUAUAGUACUUACCCUUUUCUCUUGGGGCCUAGUGGUGCAUAGAGCUGAGGUCAGUAAUUGCCCACUGGGAACUAUAAAUUAUAGUUCUCACGCCCUCUUUUUCUCGAUGUUUUUCAGAGCCUUCCACGCAGGGUGAGGCCAGGGAUCGCGGGAAGGGAGUUGCUAGGUGGUCCACAUCUCGAUUUAUGUUUUAUUUUGCGAGAGGUUGAGUGUUUUACCAGCGUACUAGAGACCACCAUUUUUAUACAUUUGAGACAGAUAUUGUACUUCUUAUGACUCCUAUUACUGUCUAACUUUACUUCCUUACCUUGGUGUAGAUGAUAGAACUAUACUCGCUCUGAUAUCAUUAGUCGCUUGUUGUUUCACUUCUUCUACUUGUCUUACUACCUGCUUUUACUUCCGCUUUUAUUCUAGACGCCUUAUAUGUGUAGACAUAUGGCGGGUCUGAGCACGCUACCGGGAGGGCCUCCGCCGGUCCCGGGGCGUGACAGCACUACUUCCCGAUCAGCGUCAAGAGGAAGAUGGAGCAGGACUUGCGCAGCUUGCGUCAGGACGAGCGGUCGGUGGCAGAGUAAUAGAGGAAGUUCUCCCGGCUACUUCAUUGUGUACCAUUUGUUGUGAGGGAUGACGAGGACAAGGCCCGCAUUUUUGAGCGUGGAUUGCGGCCUUCUAUUUUCCGAUUGGUGCAGUCUUCCAACCUCCAGACCUAUCGGGAGGUUGUGGAUCGAGCAUUGAUUGUAGAGGCUGGAGCGGCAGAUCUUCAGGAGCGUCGCGAGAGCUCAGAGAAGGGGAAGGGAAAGAGGCCCGCGGCUGAGCGUGCGAGUCAGACGCACUCACGGAGGCCGUCGAGGCACCCCAGGAGCCGGAGCCAGUCGCGGGGACGUGGCUCGUCAACUCAGCGAGGAGGAUCCGUUCGUCGCCAGGCUCCCCGCUGCGUGAUCUAUGGCGGUUCUCAUUACCCGCGGUAGUGUUCAUGCAGUCGGGGCAGGUGCUUCUUGUGUGGCCAGGAGGGCCACUUCCAGUCGGACUGCCCGAGGAGUCCAUCGCCAGCGCCAUCUUCGGCAUCUGCACCAGCAUUACCAGGUCCCAGUCAGGGGAUAUCUUCUACACAUCACCAGGCCGGGCGGCCGUCAGUUCUACGGCAGGCGGAGGGGUCACGACAGGCCUCGAGCGGGCGCAUGUACGCGGCCCAGACUGAGGAGGCGGCGGCAGCCGAGAAUGUGGUCGCAGGUAUCAUUUUACUUUAUGGUAUUCGAGUUAGAGCAUUGUUUAAUACCGGUGCAUCGCAUUCAUUCAUAGACCGGCUGUUUGCCGAGUUGCAUGGUAUCCCACUUGCAUCUUUGUUGCACCCGGGCUGAGUUGUUGUACCCGACCAUUCCUUGGACAUUCGGGAGUUUUGCCCCAGUUGCCCUGUUCGGGUUGGAGAUUGGAUCAUGCCUGCGCACUUGCUAGUGUUGCAUAAACUCGGGGAGUUUGAUGUUGUGUUGGGCAUGGAUUGGUUGACCAAGUACUUUGCCACCAUCGAUUGCAAGAAUCGAACGGUGACAUUUAGAGAGCCGGGGCAGGCGGAGGUUGUGUACCGAGGAUGCCAGAGUUCGCUGUUUGCGAUGACGAUUAGCUCUUCUCGAGCUCGGCAGUUGAUUAGUAGAGGCUGCGUGACCUACUUGGCUACUGUUGUGCUGCGGGGUGAGGAUGACACCCCCAGGAUUGAGGACAUCCCCGUAGUACGGGAGUUUGGAGAUGUGUUCCCAGCUGAGCUUCUGAGCAUGCCACUGGAUAGGGAGAUUGAGUUUGUAAUGGAUCUCGUUCCCGGGACUACUCCAAUCUCAAAGGCACCCUAUAGGAUGGCACCAGCAGAAUUGAAGGAGCUGAAGGCAAAGUUACAGGAUCUUCCGGACAAGGGUUUUGUGCGACCGAGUGUGUCACCUUGGGGAGCACCAGUUUUGUUUGUGAAGAAAAAGGACAGAUCACUUCACUUAUGCGUGGACUAUCGUGAACUUAACAAAGUCACGAUUAAGAAUAAGUAUCCGUUGCCGAGAAUCGACGAUCUAUUUGAUCAGUUACAGGGAUCCAGUGUGUAUUCCAAGAUUGACUUGCAGUCGGGAUAUCACAAAUUGAAGAUCAAGCCUGAGGAUGUGUCGAAGACAGCUUUUAGAACACGGUAUGGACAUUAUGAGUUUACUGUGAUGCCGUUCGGGCUUACUAAUGCCCCGGCAGCUUUUAUGGAUCUUAUGAACCGUGUGUUUAAGCCUUAUUUAGACAGGUUUGUCGUGGUGUUCAUCGACGACAUUUUGGUCUAUUCCCUAAGUGAUGCGGGCCACGAGGAACACUUGAGACUUAUACUUCAAGUGCUUCGGGAAAAGAAGCUCUAUGCCAAGUUGAAAAAGUGCGAGUUUUUGCUUCGGGAUAGCUGUGGAUCCAAGAAAAAUUGAAGCUAUCAAGGAUUGGCCGAGGCCGACGAGUGUGACCGAGAUACGGAGCUUCAUUGGUUUGGCCGGNAGAAAAAUUGAAGCUAUCAAGGAUUGGCCGAGGCCGACGAGUGUGACCGAGAUACGGAGCUUCAUUGGUUUGGCCGGCUACUAUCGACGGUUUGUUGAGGGAUUUGCAAAGUUGUCUACUCCCCUCACGAGGCUCACGCAUAAAGACAAAAAGUUUAUUUGGAAUGAUGCGUGUGAAAGGAGCUUCCAAGAGUUGAAGCAAAGAUUGACGACCGCCCCGAUCCUAACCUUGCCGACUGCUGGAGUAGGGUAUGUGAUUUAUAGUGAUGCUUCCUUUAAUGGAUUGGGUUGUGUCUUGAUGCAGAACGGGAAAGUGAUUGCUUAUGCAUCCCGCCAAUUGAAGGAUUAUGAAAGGAAUUAUCCCACUCACGACUUGGAGUUGGCAGCCGUGGUCUAUGCAUUGAAGCUAUGGCGCCACUACUUAUACGGCGAGCGAUGUGAAGUGUAUACGGAUCACAAAAGCUUAAAGUAUUUAUUCACUCAGAAGGAGUUGAACUUGAGGCAGCGCAGAUGGUUGGAGCUACUCAAGGAUUAUGAUCUGACGAUUCUCUACCACCCAGGCAAGGCUAACGUAGUGGCUGAUGCGCUAAGUAGGAAAUCGACGGAAAACUUAGCGAUGUUUGUGGUGACUCAACCGCCGUUGAUCGAGCAGAUGAAGAGGUUGGAGUUGGAGGUGACUCCUGACGCACCUUUGAGGCUGAUGACUUUGGUGGUGCAACCUACACUUAUGGAAAGGAUUAAAGAAAAGCAAGCUCCCGAUGUGGAGUUGCAAAGGAUUCAAGCUAAGAUGGUUGAUGGUUGCACCGAUGACUUCACUUUGGACGGUGAUCGAUUGAUGCGAUUCCGCGGACGGUUGUGUGUAUCGGCGGACUUGGGCAUUAAAGAGGACAUUCUUCAUGAAGCACACCGAGCACCGUAUGCUAUACAUCCGGGAGGCACCAAGAUGUACAAGGACUUGAAGUUUCUUUACUGGGGGCCCGGGAUGAAAAAGGAAGUUGGUGAGUUUGUUGCCAGAUGCUUAACUUGCCAACAGGUGAAAGUUCAGCACCGAGUUCCUGCUAGAAAGUUGCAGAGCCUACCGAUUCCAGUGUGGAAGUAGGAGAAGAUCACCGUGGAUUUCGUGAUGGGUUUGCCUUGCUCACAGGCCAGGCAUGAUGCUAUUUGGGUGAUCGUGGAUAGGCUGACGAAAUCGGCCCAUUUCAUACCAAUCCACACUAUUUGGACUGGUGAGAGACUCGCACAGGUUUAUCUGGAUGAGAUUGUGCGAUUGCAUGGGGUACCUACUUCUAUAGUAUCAGAUCGAGAUCCCCGUUUUGUAUCCCACUUUUGGAGGAGCUUACAGGAUGCUUUGGGUACGCGCUUGGAUUUCAGCACUGCUUUCCACCCCCAGAGUGACGGGCAGUCGGAGCGUACUAUACAAACUCUCGAGGACAUGCUUCGAGCCUGCGUGAUUGACUUCCAGGGAGGAUGGUCGCAGCAUCUACCGAUGGCAGAGUUUGUGUCACGCCCCGGGACCGGCGGAGGCCUUCCGGGUAGCGUGCCCAGACACGCCAUAUGUCAACACAUAUAAAGCGUCUACAACAAAAGCGAAAGCAAAAGCAAGUAAUAGAACAAAUAGAAGAAGUGAAAUAACUAGCAGCUAAUGAUAUCAGAGCGAGUAAAGUUCUAACAUCUACACCCAGGUAAAGAAGUAAAGCUAGACAAUAAAAGAAUUCAUAAGUAGUACAAUAUCAGUCUCUAGAACAAAAAUGGUGGUCUCUAGUACACUGGUAAACUCCUUAACCUCUCGCAAAAAGAAAUAUAAAUCGAGAGGUGGACCACCUAGCAACUCGUCCUCGAAGGAAGCUAGCUCGAAGUAACUCCCUUCCCGCGAUCCCUGGCCUCACCCUGCACGGAAGGCUCUGAAAAACAUCGAGAAAAAGAGGGCGUGAGAACUAUAAUUUAUAGUUCCCAGUGGGCAAUUACUGACCUCAGCUCUAUGCACCACUAGGCCCCGAAAGAAAAUGGUAAGUACCAUAAUAAUAGCAAUAAUGACUGCGAUAUGAAAGCAUAAUUAAAAUGCUAAAUUACUAAACUCAAGUAUACACGAUGUCAUGGUGAUGUACAUCUAUGAUAUCAAAUGGUAAAUCAUUAACCUUUAUGAAUACAUUAUGCAUAAGUUCUGUCAUGGCAACCAAGUAUGCUUUAAUGCAAAAGGAGACUAUCAAGUACACUACAUGUCUCAACCCUAUGCUAAAAGCAUAUAAAUGUAAUUCAACUACUAAACCUAUCUAGUAGUGAUUAUCCAUUCCCGGUUCAAUGUCAUUAAUCAAACAUGUUUUAGGAUCUACAAAUUGUAAUCCAGCUUGUGCCGCCUAAGUGUCGGUGGUAGCCCCAACAUUCCCACUCUAGGAAUGAGUCUAUCCCUACCGACCCCGUAGGCCUCUCGAUACCGCACGGCGAAUAUAGGUCGCGUAGGCUAACUCCGGAGUGCCGGCUUGUAGGGAGCGACCCUCACAAGCAUGUGCGAAUGAGCAGAAAUGGCAAGCACGCAUAGUCCAAGUCUAAAGUAUCCAAUCCUCAUGUCUCUAACAUGGUAUAGUCACUAGCAUCCCGAAGAUCUAGUUUAAGUCACAAUAUGAAGUUUCAACAUUUGCUACGCCUAGUGCCCCUUGAUGACACUUAGGCAAUUUGAUGUUCAACAUGUAUUCCAAAUCCCUCAAUGGCCCUAUCCACUAGGUUCUCACAUGUCCUGAGCUCAAUGCCGCUUGAUGACAUUAGCUCUCUAGUUCACAUACCUUCUAAAUGGCAAUCUUGUCAACUUUCAUGUCACAAUAAACUUAGGUUUAAAUGCAUGAGUGCAAUCUUAUUUACAUUAUAGGAGUAUGAAACCACAUCUUGUAUAGAAUGCUAAGUGCAACCAUAGGCCAACCAAGCUACUCUCUACUACAUAGAGGUCCAAAAUUUCAUCAUAUAUAACAUAGGCCUUUUAAGCAUUCUAAAAUUCACAAUAAAUACAUACAAUAAGAAUAUGCAUGCUUUUCCAUUUAACGAUACUUAAUUAAGCACAAAUGAGAAUUUCUCAUUGUGUGGCUAGGUCAAACCCACCGAACCGUCGCGUAGGGCCUCGUUUCGCCGAACAAAGUUGUCCCCGAAUCUCAAAAUACCCUAAAAGUAUUGAGCGACAAGAUACACGGGCAUUACGAUCAUCUUAUAUCAUCAAACAUUAACCUAGAAGCAAAAAGGGACAAAACUCACCUCAAGAGUAGAAAUCUUCUCCUAAGCUCCAAAAGAGAGCUAGAACCCUUCCAAUCCAAGCCCUAGGAAGGUUCUAAACCAACAAAUCAAGCCUCAAAAGCCCUAGGUUCAAAAAGCCCAAAAUAAACCCUAAGUCUCAAAACUAGGGUUUCAUCUCAAAGAAAGCUCUAAAAUCCAAAACUUGAGGAAAGGAUCUUGCCACUUACCUCUUAGAAGCCUCAAAACCAGCUCAAAGUCCUCAAACUUCAAGUGUCUUCCCUGAAUCAAGCUCCAAACCCAAGCUCCAAGCUUCAAAAAUGGUGGAAAUAGCUCCAAUAGGCAAAAGAGAGGGAAAAAUCAUCAAAAUCCAAGCUAGAAUGAGAUCAAAUCCAAAAGGUGGAAAAGAGGGGCUCCUUACCUUGCUCCUCCUCAGGUUCCAGCACCAGGGAGGCCCUAUGGGGCGUGGGUGCUGUUAUAAGAAGCCCACAAUCGCAAAUAAGCCCCUGCAGAACAAACUGUGCAGAAUCUGCCUUCUUGUAUCGGUACACGGGAUCUUGUACCGGUACAAGAGCUACGAAAAUCCAAAACCGAGGCUCGGGUGCGCGGUUCUGCGGCGCUGUACCGGUACAGACCCGAUGGCUGUACCGGUACAACCAUCAACAUUGUACCCGUACAAGACCACCCUUGUACCGGUACAAGCCCGCCAAACAGCCAAUCCGAGAGCUGACCAAAAUCCAAAUUUUUGGGUUUUGGUGCAAGGCUUUGUACCACACUCCUCGGGACACAUGCCAUAGGUCGGAACACAGUCAACGACCUACCAGGAAAUCUAGAAAAGCUCAGAGCACAGCUAAUCACUCGAAUCUCGUAAUUUGCAAAGGUCUAGUGCGUUACAGUUUGCUUAUAACAAUAGUUAUCAAGCAAGCAUCAAGAUGGCACCGUUCGAGGCACUCUAUGGACGGAAGUGUAGAUCGCCACUUCAUUGGAGUGAAGUUGGCGACAGAUUGGCCUUAGGCCCAGAUGUGCUCCAGGAGGUCGAGAACAAGGUUCGCAUUGCUCGAGAGCGACUGUUGACAGCCCAGAGUAGGCAAAAGAGCUAUGUUGAUCGGCGUCGACGAGACUUGGAGUUUCAAGUUGGAGAUCACGUCUUCUUGAAAGUCUCGCCGACUCGAGGGAUUAGAAGAUUUGGAAUCCGGGGUAAGUUGAGCCCCCGAUACAUUGGACCGUAUGAGGUUCUGGAGCGUGUAGGCCCGGUAGCGUAUAGACUUGCUCUACCGCCGAACCUAUCGGGUGUACACAAUGUAUUCCAUGUAUCGGUCCUUCGGAAGUACAUCCACUACCCGGCUCAUGUUUUGGAUGCUACACCAGUGGAGCUGAGGGAUGAUCUGAGCUUUGAAGAGCAACCCUUGAGGAUUUUGGCUCGCGAGGUAAAGAGAUUGCGGAACCGAAAAAUUUCCUACGUGAAGGUGCUUUGGAGCAACCACGACAAGCGCGAGGCCACUUGGGAGUUGGAGAGCGCACUGCGGGAGCGCUAUCCCCAUCUUUUUCAGAUGGAGGCUUGAGGUACUUUGUCUUUUUCGAGUUUUGCGGACGAAACUCUUUUUUAGGAGGAGUGAAUGUAGCACACUGGACCUUUGCAAAUUGCGAGGUUCGAGUGUUCGAGCUGUGUUCUGAGUCCUUCCAGACUUUCUGGUGGGUCGUUGACAGUGUUCCGAUUUAUGGCCCGUAUCCCGAGAAUUGUGGUUUAAAGCUGUGUACCAAAACCCGAAAAAUCGGAUUCUUGGCCAGCUCUCGGGUAGCCUUCAGAGGGUCUUGUACCGGUACAAGGUUGGUGGUUGUACCGGUACAAGGUUGAUGGUUGUAUCAGUACCGCCACCGGGCUUGUACCGGUACAGAGCCGCGGAACCCCCCAGACCCGAGCCUCGGGUUGAAGCUUUUCGUGAGGCUUGUACCGGUACAAGGGCCCGUGUACCAGUACAAGGGCCCGUGUACCGGUACAAGGUGGCAGAAUUUGAGCAGUUUGAACUGCAGGGGUGUUUUUGCGAUUGUGGACCUCUUAUAUCAACACCCACGCCCCUAGGGCUUCCUCCUGAGCUUGCCACAGCAGGAAUAGAGGUAAGGGAGCCCUCCUUGAUUUUCUUUUUGUUUUUCUUGGAUUUUGGUGGGAUUUUAAGAGAUUAAACUCCUCUUUUUGCUCGUUGGUACAACUUCACCAUUGUUGAAGCUUGAAGCUUGGAUUUGGAGCCUUGUUGAGGGAAGAUCUUUGGACUUAGAGAGUUUAGAGCUUGGGUUGAAGCUUCUAAGAGGUAAGCAUCAUAUUCUCUCCCUCUAGAUUUGAUUUUUGUUGAUGGUUUUGAGAUAAAACCCUAAAAUGGAGACUUAGGGCUUAUUUUUGGGCAUUUUUGAUUUAGGGCUUUUGGGGCUAAAUUAAUUGGAUUAGAACCCUCUUUGGGUUGUAUUGGAAGGAUCCUAGCCUUCUUUUGGAGCUUGUGAGAGUUUUUCUACACAUUAGGUGAGUUUUAGCCCUUUUGCCUUGUUGGUUAAUGUUUGAUUUUAUAGUUGAUCGUGAUGCUCGAGUAUCUCUUCGCUCAAUACUUUUAGGGUAUUUUGAGACUCGUGGACAACUUCGUUCGGCGAAACGAGGCACUACGCGACGGUUCGAUAGGUUUGACCUAGCCAUACAAUGAGAAAAUCUCAUUUGUGAAGAUUUGAGUAUCGUUAAUUGAUAAAGCAUGUAUAUUCAUGUUAGAUAUAUUUAUUAUGAAUUUUAGAAUGCUUAACAUGCAUACAUUAUGUAUAGUAAAUUUUUGGACCUCUAUGUGAUAGGGUGCAUGCAUGUGGGACGUAGCAUUCUAGUGGAAACUUAGAACCAUGAUUCCUAUUAUGAAAAUGAACAUUGCUUUCUUGCAUUUAACCUUAUGCCUAAUUGUGACAUUAGGGACUUUGGAAGCCUAGAGAGGUUUGGGGACUUAGGCUAUUUGAGAUUUUGGGCCAAUGUCAUAAAGAGGCAUUGGGCCCCGGGCUAUAGUGAAUAUUGGUAUUAACGUCAUAUUUAGAACAUAGAACAUGAAUUGAGCUUGAUUAGUUGUGAUGCUUAAGUGUCAUAAAGAGGCACUAAGCAAGUGGUGUUGAGAUAUCACAUUGUGACAUAGAGCUAGACCGUUGGGUUACUAGUAGCUAUUGCCAUGUUUGAGACAUGAGGGUUGGAUACUUGAGCCUUUGACUAGGUUGCUUGCCAUUUGUGCUCAUUCGCACAUGUUUGUGAGGGUCGCUCCCUACAAGCUGGCACUCCGGAGUUAGCCUACGCGACUUAUGUUCGCUCGUGCGGUAUUGAGAAACCUACGGGGUCGAGUGGGACAGAUACAUUCCAAGAGUAGGAAUGUCGGGCUACCACAGGCACUUAGGCCGCACAAGCUGGACUACUUUGGGUAGGCCCUUAUUUGGAAAUGGAAAUCGACACAGUGUUGAGUGUGUUAUAAUCACUACUAGAUAGAGAUUAGUAGUUGGAUUACUUGGACUUACUUCUAGCAUAGUAUUGGACACUUGAGUACACAUACGUACAUGUAGUAUGUUAGGAGAUGUUGCUUAUUGCAUUCAUAUAUACAUUGUUGCCAUGAUAAAGCAUGAUCCUUAUAACUUCAUAAGUGAACUGUGACAUUUACUUGUAGCCAUGUAGAGACAUAUUGGUUAUGACAAAGUAAAGGUGCAUUAUUUUUCAACACCAUGCUUAAUUGCAAUAUAGUAGCUUAGCAUUUUAAUUAUGCUCUUAUAAAUACAGUUUAUUCAUUAUUAUUGCUGUUUGCCGUAGUUACCAUUUUCUUUUGGGGCCUAGUGGUGCAUUGAGCUGAGGUUAGUAAUUGCCCACUGGAAACUAUAAUUUAUAGUUCUCACGCCCUCUAUUCUAUGUUUUCUUUCAGAGCCUUCCACGCCGGGAGAGGCUAGGGACCGUGGGAAGUGCGUUGCUUCGAGCUAGCUCUUCAGCGAGGGACGAGUUGCUAGGUGGUUUACCUCUCGAUGUAUUUUAUUUUGGGAGAGGUUGAGAGCUGUACCAGUGUACUAGAGACCACCCUUUGUGUACUUUUGGGACAGAUAUUGUACUACCUUAUGGUUUACUUUUAUUGUUUAGUUGUAUCAUUUUACUUUUGUUAUAGAAAGUAGAAUCUUACUGCUCUGAUAUCAUUAGUUUUUGCUCUUUCCUUUCGGCUAUGUUUCUUGCUUUAUUUCCGCUGUUGACGUAGACACCUUAUAUGUGUUGGCAUAUGGCGGGUCUGGGCACACUACCGGCAGGGCCUCUGCCGGUCCCGGGGCGUGACAGUAUCUACACUAAACAUCCUAUAUGCAUAAGUAACCACAUAUGAGAACAUGAUCAAUAAUACAACUUAGACAUAACCGGAAGCCCAACUGCUUCGAGAUAACACCCCCCACCUUCUGGUGGUGCCACGAAGAUAAGGUUCGAAUUUCGCGAUCUUAGGACGCCGCCUCGGUUCUUUAAGCGAAAACGAAGCCGAAACGCCCUUUUUGCUAAUAUCUUUGCGCAGGCUCGACGGAUCGCCGAACCGUCUUCACCACCGUGUCCGACUACCUAGUAAAUAGGCACAAAAGAGAUCAAUCCCAACCUUGGAUCUCUACUUUACAAAACCUAUUUUAGAACCCUAGGUCGGAACUAUUGCAAGAAUCCGACGUAUAACUUCGCGAUUCAAGCAAUAAUCACCUACUUAGCAUCUAGGGGUUCUAUAAAAACCAUUUCUAAGGUAUAAAACAUCAGACCUAGAAAUCUACCAUUAAAGCUCCAUGAAGCUUACCUCAAAACCUCGCUCCAACAACGAGGAAGAAGAUGAAGAAGACGAAGAUCCGACGUCAACUUCAAUCUCCUUCAAUCCCUUCACUAACUUCCACCCUUGGGGGAGCUUCUAGAGAGAGAAAAGAAGAAAGAAAUGGUGAGGAGAGAGUUCACUGGCUGUGAACAAGAAAGGGGGAGUUGGGGCCCUUUUAUAAGCUGCCACAAUUAUAUAAAAGCCCCUCAAACAAUUCCAAAUUGCAACAGACCCAACCUGCAGUUUUCUGCAGUUGGUACCGGUACACGGGCAAUCUGUCACCGGUUCAACGAUUACGCAGCAGCAACCCGAGAGCAGCCCUUUUCGGUCAGCAGUCUGGUACCGGUACUAUUUUGGUCUAUCACCGAUUAACAGUUGUUGUGUGUCGAUCGUCCCGACCCUUGACCUAGUCAAAGAUCUUCUUCGGGAAGCGCGUCGGGGCUGAAAUGGCUCCGAAAGAUGACCCUCGAAGUGUGUGCCCUUUUACUGAACAAGCGAUUCGGCUGAUGAGGGAUCCAAUUAGCCAGGUCUGAAGAACUCUAUUCUCUCUUUGGUUCGGCCGGAUGAGCCGAAUGUAUGGGAAAAGUCGGAAACUCAACCAGGAGAUGAGCCGAACGGCUAACACAACACAAGAUCUGGCCGGUCUGAAGAGCCGAAAAUGACUUUCUAUUGAAUGAACCAGUAGAGAGUACAGGAAGAAAGGUUUUAGUCUACAACGGAGUGAUGCCCCGGGGGCAGACAGACUCCAGGAUCCUAAAUUACCAAGCUACUCCUAGAAAAAGCAGUAAAUGCAGGAAAGAAAGAUGCGGUAAAAUAAGGGUGGUCUUUUGUUCGCAAGGAAAAAAUACCCGUUUUUAGGGUGUUAUUACCCUAUUUAUAGAUCGCCCCCUUGAUCAGUUAUUGCUCUUACAUGAUCGGUCAUUAUCUCCUCAUAUUCCGGAUCACCUCCAGCCGAUCGGAACCGCAUGUAACUGCUUGCGGUUACUGUAACUUCCUUCAAUUGGCGCGAUUUAGUUUCCUUUAAACUUUUUCGGUGCUCCGAUACCCCGGGGGCAGACAGACUCCAGGAUUCUAAAUUACCAAGCUACUCCUAAAAAAAACGAUAAAUGCAGGAAAGAAAGAUGCGGUAAAAUAAGGGUGGUCUUUUGUUCGCAAGGAAAAAAUACCCCUUUUUAGGGCAUUAUUACCCUAUUUAUAGAUCGCCCCCUUGAUUAGUUAUUGCUCUUACACGAUCGGCCAUUAUCUCCUCAUAUUCCGGACCACCUCCAGCCAAUCGGAACCGCAUGUAACUGCUUGCGAUUACUGUAACUUCCUUCAAUUGACGCGAUUUAGUUUCCUUUAAACUUUUCCGGUGCUCCUGGUGCACGACCGAAUAAAUGCUUUUGAAGGGAAUACCAGCAUCCCACCUGUCCGCGCCUAAUUGGCUCAACAACAGCCUUGACAGAGGCUAACCCGAGAGCAACUCUGCUCUCGGUUUCUGUAGUGUACCGAUGACACCCCUGGGCUGUCACCGGUUCACAACGCUCCAGAUUUGAUUCUCGCAUUGUUACGACUCCAAUUCACGCCGAGCAAUGCUAAAACCUCUCUAACUCUUUUGGAACUCAAUUUUAACCCUUCCAACAUAGUUGGAAUGUCAAAUGGAACAUGUCCAAGCAUCCGUCUCGCCACACUUUGGUCACUUUGACCAAAAGUGGAUUAUUACUAUGAGGAUUCGAUAUCUUACAGUUGGGGUAGUCGUGUACUCUAAUAUUAACCAAAAUGGUGAAUACCUUGCAAUAUACACGCAUUAAACAUCCUGAGAAAACAUUUGGUACACUUAUAAUUUCAUAUAUUACUGCCAUGCCAUAUUUUGCGUAAUACUGAAUUGCUACUUGUCUCUACAUUUGGAACACCUACAGGUCAAAAUUGUGUAAUCUAAAUAAAAAACUAAUAUCGUUAACGGCCAUAUAACUGUUGGGAUAAAUCAGAGCCUAUGUAAACAUAGAUGAUACAGCUAUUCUCUGGAUCUGCAAAUUGUCUUCACCUUCUUGAGGUGUAGAAGUAUAGCAAGUGUUAACCUGCAUGACCAGAUCUACCACUGGCUCACACCAUUAUGAUUGUCUCCGUUAUAGUGAAAUAUGAUUGUGUUGUCUGACUUUACACAUGCGCAAGAAUCCAUAUGUAGAUGUUCUUUUAUUAUAUAUAGAGGGAAUUAAGUAUGAUGCCAAAUACCAUCAAAAUCUAUGUAAUACCGCAUCAUUGUGCAUCCUUAGGUCAUUCUCUAGCACUGUUUGAGGCAUCAAACUGUGCGCAUAUGUUAAUCUGCAUAAUGAGACUGCCUACUGGCUCACACUACUAUUAUAAUUUUAGUCUAUAUUUAUAGUGAAAUGUGUACCAGGAACCACUAUUGUAAUGUACCAACUUCUUGAUAUAAAGAUCAGUGUAAAUAAAAAUAGUGUGAGAUACUAUUUUUAUUGAACUUAAAGAAGUAAAAUAUAAGUCGAAAAUGACUUGUGCUGAAAUUGGAGUGGAAACAGAAGAUUUAGAAUUUUCUGUAAAAAACGGGGAUGAUCUUUUAGCAGAAAAUUCACAGUGUCAGAAAAUUAUGAAAACUUGAGAAUAUGUCGGAAUUACUUUUAUGAGGCUAGAUUUAAUGUUUCAUGUCAUUCUAACAACUGGAAGGUGGAAAAUAAAAUCUGACUGUGAUCUACUAGAGAUUUUAGUCGGUAGAAUUUUUGGUGACAAAAAAUGGUCCAAACUGAAAAGUUAAGAUAUCUUUCUUCUUAUUAGUUUAAACCGAGUCUGACUGUCAAAUUUGAGUGCAAACGGACAUUCAAAAGGGCUCCGACGAAAAGUAUCAGAUUCUGAACUGCUAAACUGAAAUUGUAAUAGUGUUGGGGGACAUAUAUAUAAACCCACACAACUCUCUCUCUCAUUGGUUUUCAUCGAGCACGAGAGGAGCUUGGAGAGGGGUUUUCUUUCUCUUUAAAUCACUCUCCCUCUACUCUCUAACACUUUUCUCUCCAUUCCUCUUGUAAUUUCUCCAUUAAAGAGAGGUUUGGAGGAGCUUAAGGUUGCUUGGUGGUGAAGCAAGCCUUGGGGAGAAGAAGCUUCAUGAAAGCAAAGGAUUCAAGGUGAGACUUCCUUAAAGUUGAGUUAGGAUUUUAGUUAAAUCCUUUAAAAGUUGUUGUAUUUAGGAUCUAUAUAUGAUUUUAAGCUAGUUUAAUGAAGGGUUUAUCAUGAUUAAUGAGAUUCUCUUGAGGAAAUGGAAACCUAGGGUUGAAAUUGGGGUUUUUGUCCCUAUGAGGUUUUGAAUUAAAUUGACCCUCUAAAUAUCUAAUUAAAGGUUAGAAGAGCACGCCCAACAACUUUAAUUAGGAUGCGUAGCGGCCUCGGCGAUCGAUCGAAGGAAACAAAUUGAUUCAUGAAGAUUUGAGUUCGUUAGCCUUAAAGCGCGGCGAAUCGUCAUUGGGAGCCCGAUUGCAAGUGACUACAAGCAAUCGAAGAGCGUUACGAGGUGGGUUGUGCUUCACCGAAGUGAUUAGGUCAUUUCUAAGCCAAAGUGAAGUAUAAAUGUUGUUGAUGCAUGUAAAAUUGGUAGGUUGUAUAUGAUAAUAUAAAUGUAUAAAUCAUAUUAUGCUUGAUGUUGUUACCUACCAUGAGAUGCUAUAUGAAUGCAUGAAGUAGAAGCUAAUCAAGAACGCAUGAGAUAGAUGCUAGUAAUGAACAUAUGAGAUGUAUGCGAAGUGGAUGCAUGAGCUAGAUGCUAAAUGAAUGCAUAGAGUAUAUGCUAAGUGAAUACAUGAACUAGAUGCUAAGUAAAUGCAUGAGUUAGAUUCUAAUUGUAAAUGCAUAAGAUAUAUACUAAGUGAAUGUAUGAGCUAGAUGCUAAAUGAAUGCAUGAGUUAAAUGCUAAAUGAAUGCAUUAGGUAGAUGCUAAUUGUAAAUGCAUAAGAUAUAUGCUAAGUGAAUGUAUGAGCUAGAUGCUAAAGAACGCAUGUGAGAGUUGCUAAAGAAUACGUGGGACAUAUGCUAAUAAAGAAUGUAUGAGUUGUAUGCCAAAUGUAUAUUGAUUACUAUUGUGAUAAGAACAUAGGCAUGUGUAGGAAAUGUUAGAGAAUAUAUGCAUGUUGACAUAACGUGAGAAAAUGCUAGGUUCAUACGAGUGUGAACUUGGGUCGAUAACUCUAGGUUGUUAGAGAAUUCGACAAGUGUGGCAUGUCAAUUAUGAUUCCUAGGUAUGGACAACUAGGAAAAUAAGAACAUGAGUGGCAAUGAAACCUAGUGUUAUUAAACAUAGGUGAUUCAUGAGUGGCAUUGAACCUAAAGUCAAAUGAACCUAGGUAGCAAGGAGCAAGGAACCUAGUAUUGUAGAACCUAGGCUAUGAGUAUAGUGGCAUUAAGCCUAAUGUUAUUAAAUUUAGGUUGAGGAGUGACUUGAACCUAGAAAGGUUGUCAACAUACGGUAAGACCAACCUUGAGAUAUGAAAGUGGAUUCCGGAAUCUCAGGACUUGUGAACUCGACAGUUCUUGGCCGCGGGUGCGUAUGGCAUAUUCCCCUCCCAUCGGAAGAACUUCGAGUAUAGGCUUAUGGAUGAUUCUUGGCCGCGGGGGCUGUGUGGCAUAUUCCCUUCCCACCGGAAGAAUCUUGGAGCGCUAGGGUGUAUGUGGCAUGUUCCUCUCCCUAUCGGGGAUCUUGGGCCGCGGGUGUGUGUGGCAUAUUCCUCUCCCACCGGAAAGAUCCCUAACCACGGGUGUGCGCUGCUCUGAGCGACCCGUUGGGCGACGUGGUUUGUGGAAUGGUGGCUGAGGUGCAUGUGAGAGUUCCUUCACCUGGAGCUGGACAGAGCGCGGAUUAUUUGCAGUCGAUUGACUCAAGACCGAGUCGAGUGGCAUAGUUGGCUAAGGUAAAGGUAACCUUAGGAAAGAAUGACAAAUGAGUAUAAUAUGGCUAAGGUGGGAGUACCCUCAGUGAAGAAUAAAGAUUAGCUAAGAAUAAUAAAAAAAGUCAAAGAAUAAAGAAUUGCUAAUAAUAUAAAGAAUGGCAAAUGAUAGAGAGUAGAAUCAAUUGAUCUACUUGCAUAGUUGCAUGAUUUGCAUAGUUGCAUAUUGUGGGGCAUGAACAUGAUAAUUGCUAGUCGCAUAAAUUAUAUAUCUGUGAAUAUUUGUUGGACUAACAUAUUUGCAGUGCCUCCUUUGGACCUGGUGGGUCGAGCUCUUCCCUUGGGUGACCGUACCCACUGGGAACUAUGGACAAUAGUUCUCACCCCACAUUAUUUUGGGGGUUUCAGGUUCACACGCGAGUUGCGCGGCGGCGCGAGGAAAGGGCGCAGCUCCAUAGAUAGCGCCCUACCACUGAGACUAGAGAUAGCGGUACCCUGAGUCGACUACUUAGGGAUGUGAAAAAGGAAAAAAAAUCAAGUUGUAAUAAUUAUGUUAAAUGGGAUUGUAUUUGGAACUUAACAAGAGUUGAAAAUGUAAUAUGUAAAAUGUAUGUAUGUUGGAUGCUUGUAAUAGCAUAGCGUUUAUGUUUUUGAUACCUUCCUUAUGCAAUCUUUGUUUGAAUGCUGUUCCUGGUUGAAACCUCGCGCAUUGUAUGAUUGUGACGUCUUGGACGUACAGGGGAGACUCUGUCCGCGAUACAGGGGAAACCCUGUCCGUUCGGCGGUAUGUUGGCGUGCCCGAAUCCGACCAAAUAGGUGGGGCUCGGGGCGUGACAACUAUAGUCAAUCCAUUUCCAUAAGAAUAAGCCGUGAAGUAUCGUGUACCGUGCAGAGGUAUUCACCAUCCCAACAUCUUUUUGAGUGUUGAUAGUGUUAUAUCAAAUAUGACAAAUUCGUUUUGACCUGAAGGUGUAUUUAUACUAGUAUGCUACUUUUUGUAUACCCAUCUAGCAUAUAGGUACACUAAUACAGAAGUAAAGCACAAUAUUUAAGGACUUGCCCUGCAUGCCUAAAAGCGACAGCUAUAGAUUAACCGGUGCACACCUUUAAAAUUAUAGCAAGUACCUAAAUAAAUUAGUGACAUGUCUUCUCUUGCAAGUCAGUACAUACUUUGACUUGAUUCAUCCCGCAGGUGCUGACAGUGGGUGUCUCAUAUAUGUAGAUUCUACUAUUACAUGUCGGUAAUAUUACUUAAUGCCUGACUUAUGAAUAAUCUGCAUGAUAAGACAUGUCAAUUUCCUUUAGUAUUGUCUUUUGAGUUGGUAAAGGUGUACCUUAGUCCACCAGAGGUAUUCCAUUGGACAUUAAGAUAGGAAUGCACGGACAGACCUUCAUAAUUUAUUAAUAUAGCUAGCACUGUAUAAUGGGUAGGGGUGGAAACGAGCCGAGCUCGAGCGAGCUUACCUCAGCUCAAACUUGGCUUGAAGUUAUUUUCGAGCCUAAAUUUAGGCUCAAGCUUCGCUUGAAAUUAAUUCGAGCCGAGCUCGAGCGAGCCUAACUUCGAGUCGAGCGAGCUCGAGCCCUAAAUGAGCCGCUUAAAAUUCUUAACAUCAUGCAAUCUAUAAUUUAAUUUUUAUAAAACAUUAUGUAAAAUUUGAUACAAAAUGUCACGCCCCGGGACCGGCGGAGGCCCUCCCGGUANGACGAGUAGCUAUAAUUCUAAAGCUAAUACAAAAUAGUUGGGGAAGGGCUGGUUAAGUAGAGCUUCAGAGUAUUUUCAUCAUAAGCUGUAAGCUUUUACAACUAUGGGAGAUAGUCCUACGGGGGCGUUAUACAGGUAUUAAUCAACCACUGAUCACUUGCCAGAUCACGCUGUACCAGAGAAUAUGUUCCAUAAAACUUUGAGUUUCUGUGGAAGCAACUAUUUGUAUUGAACGUGGAGUAGGGUUAUUAGAAGGAGAAGUAGAUUCUUACGGUACUCUAAGCGGUGUCAACCUCUAGAUUUUUGAGCUGCUAACUAAUUGACUCAGUAGUGAUGUUAGGUUGUUUUUUUAUUUUUCGUUAAAAAUCUUUCUUACUUGUAAGAUUAUACGUACAAUUAAAUGUGUUAGAUUUUUACGACCUAAUACUUCACCGUUAAAGCUAAAGUCUACCGAGUCUACAUUUUUCCAAAUCUUAUUUUGACACCGACAUCACCCUAACCAGGUAAGAAGGGAUGGUAAAUGUAGAUGAUGGGAAAAUACGUAGUAACAGCUUUGUUUUUACACUAUACUUAUACGACGUAUUUCUCUUCGUUACCUGUUUUAUGAUGAUAAUCAAGGUUUACCAAUUCUUUAACAUUAAUAUUAUCCUUUUUUUACACGACGAUAGUCAAAGUAUACCAAUUCUUUUACGUUAGUAUUUUCAGGUAACUACAUUCGAUCGAAAGUUCACAUUCCCAAACGUUAUUUUACAAUAACCGUUGACGUCACCAGACAGGGACGGAGGUAUGGUAAAUAUUGUGGUAUAGUAACUGAUUUGAUGUUAAAUUAUGUUUUUUACGACGUAUUAAUCGUUAUCGUUACGAAUUUCUCGUUAUUGUAUCUAUGUAUUUCUCGUUCUUAUCACGGAGAACUAUACGACAGUAGUUAGUAAGAAUCAAAAGUUUCACGUUAUUAUAUCCACGUAUAUCACGUCCUUUUUUCUAAUAUACGACAGUAGUUAAGUAAUUUCUCUUUGACGUACUCAUAUCAAGGUAAAUUUCGUCUUGUAUUUUUUCUUUUUUAUACAACGGUAGUAAAGGUGUCUCUAUCUCUUGACCUUCAUAUUUCCAGUACAAUAAAUUCGUCCUAAUUCUCACUUUCCCAAAUUUUAUUUUACCACCGACGUUAUCAUCAGUAGGGAUGAAGGUUGGUAAAUGUAUUUUUCGUCCUUGUUACGGAGAACUAUAGCACGGUAGUUUAUAUCUAUCAAAUGUUUGACGUGUUUAUAUCUACGAAUUUAUCGUCCUUGUUUUUUAAUAUACGAUGGUAGUUAAGUUCUAAAAUUUAUAUUGAUAUAAUAUGUAAGUAUUCGUUUCAAUGUCUCCUUUUUAUACGACGGUAAUUAGGAAUUAGUCACGUUUUUGAUGUUAUAAUAUUCGGGGUAGCCAAGAUUAAUUAAAUUUUAUCGUUAUUAAUCAAAAAUUUGUCGUCCUAUAAUGAUAAAAUUUGUCACUUCAUUGUAGCAAGGUAUGUAAACUCAAAGGUUGAUGUAACUGGUAUUUAUCAUGCUAUUUCCUAUUGUAUUCGACGAUAGUUAAGAUGUAUCUAAUCUUUAUCGGUAUUAUAUCCUUUGAUUUUCUGGUAUUUAUAUCAUCAAAUCUAUGUUUUUUCCCGCUUUGUCAUCCUUGCAUUAAGUAUAUCCGGAACGAUUGGUGUAUCUUUUGGGUUUUAUAUAGUUCAAACACACGUUCCGGCGUUUUUGGUCCACCGUCUAAUUUCUAUAAAUAGAUCAAUCCUCCCUUCCUCCCACGCAGUCCGUACAAAGGUCACCGGUCGGCAACGUACUGGUGAACUGCCAGUUAGGUGUAUAUGUUUUAUAGAGGUGAGUAUCUGUACUUGUAACUGGAUAACGCGAGUAGGAACUUUCGCAGUGUACGUCUCUCCUAUCGAAGUUCUCUAUCUGGCCCUUACAAUAAAUCAGAAUGGUAUGUGAGGAGAUACCUCACUUCAAAACCUGUUCGCAGUUAGAGUGCGACAUCGUUAGCGAGUCGAUACAAGUUAGAAAAAAACGGUUCGAGUUGGUUGAGAACGUAUGUUAGUCUCAACAAAAGUUAAAAAGGAAAUGCCCAACUACAGCCACAUCAGAAUGCACUGCCUCCACUCCUUGCUGCAGAGAAUGGUCUUCUUCAUACUCGUCUUCGUGAUCAUUACACGCCUAAAGGUGAGAAUUGACCCCAACCUCACCCUCUUAUACUUCAACGUAGUAACUACGGUAGAAGUAAAACGCCGCUGUAACGGUACCCAUUAACCACCGAUGGUCUUCAAACGGGUACAGGACUUCCUGGCCGGUACCUAAAAGACUAAACGAGAUUUUACCGCCAACACGGGCCCCUACUACUACUGUACGAUGCUUGUAGGAGUGAAACGUAAGGUCAGCAUUUAGGUACGGAUGGGCAUCGUCACCAGAAAGGUCUAUUCUUGAGUUACAGGAAUAUACGUCCCUUGCCAAACAGGGAUGUGAAUCGUAUUCGACUUAAAAGAACAUUGUUAUAUUUUGUGUUACCAGUUGACUCUUUUGAUAUUAAUAUAUUUUUAAUUUUAAAGUUCUAUUAACCAAGUUGUUGUAUGGCGAUGGUGAUGUAAGGUUAGUGAAUCCAGCGGACGACAACCUUACAACGCUAGUAUUAGGGUUGGGGUAGGUGAGAAUAAUCGAUUACAAACUAUGUACUGCUUAACAGCGAAGUUGUGAAAAUCAGCUAAAACAUUUACCGAAAAUUGUUUCAAACGAAAACAAGCGUCCAACUUUAGUACUUAAUAAGAAGGGGUUCGUUCACCUCAUUUUGAAGGUAACUGCUUUAAAGGUUCUUGUACAAGAAGACAGUAGUUCAAGUUGUAACGGCUUAGGUACUGGAAACAGGUUAAAGGUCUCGCAUGAGACCCAAAGCUCUAAAGGACUGACACCGAAACCUCCGAAACCGAUAGUCAACUCCACUGUAGUUAUUGCAAAUACAAAACAGAAUGUUUUGCUACUUGAACAGAUAAAACUCCAUCGUAGACUUCAAUUAGUUGUAUAUUUAUUUAUUUAUUUAAUUGUUCAGCAGCACUUCAUGUCGAAUAUCAUUCAAUUGUACCGAAUCUUCUUUCCCCUAUUACUACUAGUGCCACCGACGUUACGCUUUUUGUACGGUGGGUUGGUACUUCAAGAUCAAAGAAUGGGUACGUAGUAGCAGAGUAAAAUACAGUUUAUUCCGUAGGUUGUUCCGUUGUCUCUUUCGUGGUGGUAAAGUGUUAUGGAGGUUCUAGUAUACGUAACUCAUGUACAAGUAGUCGUCUAUGACUAUUAAGGGUCACAAGUCGAUAUAUAUCUUGUACCAAUAAGGUCAAAAAAUUGACACAUCUUAACUACCGUCGUAUAGAAAUAAAAACAGGACGAUAAAUACUUGGAUAUAAUAACGUGAAACUUAUCUGGGUAUGUUUACUACCGGAUAGGUCUCUCGGAUUUAUUUUACGUUAUCCUUCUGUUUCUUUGUAUUAUAUUUAUCGUACGUUUUAAUAUAUUUUGUUGUUGGAACAGAAAGUUGUUAUAAUAAAUGAUAAUAAAUUUCAUCCGUGUAAUAUAAUGUCUUUAAUUCUUUUUAGACUACCAAAUGGAUUUUUAGAUUAAUAAAUUUUAGUUGAUAAUACUUGAAAAGUCGUAUUAUCAACAUUUUUUACUUAUUCUUUAUUUCAUUAUUCUGCUUAGAUCAUCUUUGGUUCUCUUUUCGUUCUGCAUUCUCAUCUACUUAAAAGCCGGUAUUAAUUAUGUGAGUUUGACUUCGAAAUGUUAACUUUAUUUUAUUAUUAUCCUUAGUUGUGUAUUUAUAUUUACCUCGUUAGUGAGUUGUACUUACUUAGCAGGAUACAUAACUUAACCAUCGACGUAUCCUGAUUAGGGUAUACGGAGGUUUAGUGUUAUGUAGACUUAAGUUUUUACGAAGUGACGAACAAUUAUCCUAUGUAGAGCAAGGGUAAGUUCCGGGUCGUAAUAGUUUCAAUCCGGUGUUCAAUGUAGUUUGAUCUAUUUUUUUUUGGGUGGAAACAUUCUAGUUCCUCGCGUUUAUGCUAAUUGAUAAGUCUACUCGUGUCACUUCCCAUCUCAAAGGAGUUGGUGUCUUAAAAACUCCCCAAACGUAGAGUGGGACCACGUAUGAUAAAUAUCCCUUCUUCAGUCCUGAAUGAUACAAUCCAUCCUCUUUUAUUCACAUCAAUUACCUCUGCUGAGCUGUUGAGCUUGAUUGUCGUUCUAGCCUCUUCUAUAGAAAGACAACACGUCGGUUCUCUCUAACGGAAUUAAUUACCGGCUAGAUGCGUCCCUUGGCUCGAAAACUUUUGUUAUCUACGCAUCCUCUGUAACGAAGUCCUCAUUUUCGUUUGGUGAGGUUAUUUAUCCCAAAACCCCGUCACUUCUUCUGCUAUUUAUCCCAGAAACCCCGCCACUUCUUCUACUGCGAUAGAAACCAUCCGCGCUCCGUCAUUUUUCCUUUUUUUUUCUUUACAAGCGGAUCCCUUCUCUUCUUCUCAUCCCUCUCCCCAUAUCUAUCCACGCUCCUUUUUCAUUUCUUCUUAGUGUUCUCCUUCUUCUGCUGCGUCGAAGAGCUCUUUUUCUACUUCUGCUUCUACCCCGUCCACGUUCUCAUUUCCCCGCUAUGCUUGCUCCGUUUCGUCGUUUUAUUUUAUCUUAAAGGGUAGGGACGGGGACCCUGUUUUAGAUUAAGGUCCCCACCCCCCCUUAAUUAGAAUUGCCCAAUAAGGUCAAAAAAGACCUUAUUGGGCGAAACUGGCCAUAUUCGAUAAGGACAGAAAAAAAAAACAAACCAUCUUAUAUAUCCUAUUUUAUGAAAUAGGAGACCAAUAAGAUAAUGGUUUGUAUCGGAAUACCAUAUUUUCACAAGAUUUGGGUUUUUGACUAUCGUCACAAGAUAAUUCGAAAUGCUUACAAGAUAAUUCAGUAUUCUCCCAUUCUAACGUUACGUAUAUACAAGCGUUGACGUUUGGACUAUUUUCACAAGAUAAUUCGAGAUUCUCAUAAGAUAAGAUGAUACUGUUUUCUCACAAGUGUUGGUGUUUUGAUAAUUCUCACAAGAUAAUUAGAAAUGUUGACAAGAUAAUACCGUGUUUUCACAAGAUAAGAUGAUACUGUUUUCUCACAAGUGUUGGUAUUUCGAUAAUUCUCACAAGAUAAUUAGAAAUGUUGACAAAAUAAUACCGUAUUUUCAUAAGAUAAGAUAUUACUGUUUUCUCACAGGUGUUCAUAUUUUGAUAAUUCUCACAAGAUAAUUGGAAAUGUUGACAAGAUAAUACCGUUAUUUCACAAGAUAAGAUGAUACUGUUUUCUCACAAGUGUUGGUAUUUCGAUAAUUGUCACAAGAUAAUUAGAAAUGUUAAUAAGAUAAUAGCGUAUUUUCACAAGAUUUGGGUUUUUGACUAUCGUCACAAGAUAAUUCGAAAUGCUUACAAGAUAAUUCAGUAUUCUCCCAUUCUAACGUUACGUAUAUACAAGCGUUGACGUUUGGACUAUUUUCACAAUAUAAUUCGAGAUUCUCACAAGAUAAGAUGAUACUGUUUUUCUAAUAAGUGUUGGUAUUUCGAUAAUUCUCACAAGAUAAUUGGAAAUGUUGACAAGAUAAUACUGUAUUUACACAAGAUAAGAUAAUACUAUUUUCUCACAAGUGUUGGUAUUUCGAUAAUUCUCACAAGAUAAUUGGAAAUGUUAAUAAGAUAAUACCGUAUUUUCGCAAGAUUUCGAAUUUUGACUAUCGUCACAAGAUAAUUCGAAAUUUUUAUAAGAUAAUUCAGUAUUCUCCCAUUCUAACGUUACGUAUAUACAAGCGUUGAUAUGUAGACUAUUUUCACAAGAUAAUUCGGGAUCUUUACAAGAUGAUACUGUUUACUCACAAGUGUUGGUAUUUCGAUUAUUCUCACAAGAUAAUUCGACAUUCAUACAAGAAAAUACCGUAUUCUCACAGUCUAACAGUUCGUAUGUACAAACGUUUGUGUUUAAAAUAUUCUCACAAGAUGAUUCUCACAAGAAUAUUCGAGAUUCUCAUUUGGGAAAUACCGUAUUCUCACUGUUUAACAUUGCGUAUGUACGAGUGUCGGUUGAUAUGUGCUUAUGUUUGUUUAAUUAAUAAUUAUGUUUAUAUGUUCAUACGUAUUCUCUUAUAUGAUCAUUGGGGUUUGUAUAAAAGAUAUGGAAAGACGUAUGAUCAUUGCGAUUUAUACAAAAGGUAGUAUUUGAUUCGUUUUAAAAUACUUUACGUACUUUAUAUACACACAAUGACACCUGCGUAGAAGAUUUGGGAUUUGGGAUUAAGAUUAGUAUUUAUGAAAUAAAAAUGUUUACGUUAUUUUUUAUAUUAUAUGGUCGUCACAGGAUUUUUAUUUUAAUUAGUCGAUCAGCCACUGCUUUAGGCCUCGUGCAUUUCUGUUUGGGUUGGACGUUGGGAUUUGGGAGUUUUAUAUCUUAAAUAUAAUUUAAAUUUUAAAAUUUAUUUUCUAAUAUCUUUAAGUUUUUAUUACGGGACAAACUCAACUUAGGAGACAAGCCAACAACGGCUUAAUCGAGGCUUUAGCAAAAGUUAAAACCUGCGUGUACUCACGUCCUUACUCACUGUCCAUGACCCUACUUAUCCCCUCGUUAACUCUCCGUUAGAGGAUGGUUACCUCUCUCCGCUCCCGCUCUCUGUGGAAGCUCUGCCGAAACCUGUGCUCUACACACCUUGCUCACGACGGAUUGAAAACGGGCUACCUCAACUCACGGGACGGUCACUCUCGCUCUCUUUCUCUCUCCCUUCUCGCGCUCUAGUUCUCUCUCCGCUCCCUCACUCUCUCUCUCGCUCUUUGCCUCUCUCGCUCUUAUUCCACACGCCCUCUCUCUCUCUCUCUACACAUGAUCUUCCCAUAUCGAAAUCCUUCUUUAUUUUUCCCCUCACUUCAAUCGACGAUGAUGACACGAUCACGGGAUUAUAGUCGGCAACCUAGUAUGCCCACAUCCUACAUGUGGAAAGAUUUCAUCAGACCGAUCUCAAAAGGAUAAAAUAUCAAUAUAUUAAAUAAAUUAAAUAUAAAAAUAUAUAUUUAUUUAUUAAUAUAUAUUAUAUAUAAAAAUAAUAAAUUAAAAAUCGUUUUAUUUUUAUAUUUACGCUCGAAUUAAUAAUUUUUUAUGUACAUUUCAAAGUUAAUAAUCUAGUUUCAGAUUACCUAUUCUAAAAUAUUUAAAUAAAAAAUAUAUAUAAAUUAGAUUAAAAAAAAUUAAAUAACAAGCAACCGGUCGAGCACUCGGUCGACCAUAAGCCGAGCAAUUAUUUGCUCAACUUGUGCUCGAUUUAAAAAGCCGAGCUAUGAAAUUGUUCGAUUAAGCACAAGAUGAGCAAAUUAUUUGCUCGGCUUGUUUUCGGUUGGGUCGGGCGAGCACAAGCAGAGCAAAUGUGGGGAUGGACGUUCCGACGUUGCGACGACCAGCAACCGAGCCCUGUAAUCUUGUUCGUCGUCAAAGGGGCUUCUGGUGAACGUUUCAGAUUUCGGGUGCAUUUUGGGGGGUGUUCAUUUGGGGAGCUAGGUCAGGAGGGAGCUAGAGAAGGUUACGGCGGGUGAGAGGGAGAAGUGGCGGCGGCGGAGGAGGAGGGCAGGGUGGUGAUGCCACUGGUUUAGGCGUGGAAGCAGCUGCGGGCGCACUUCACCCACGCCCUGGCGCGGGAGCUGGUGCGGCACCUCUUCCUUUUCGUGGAGGUUGGGAAGGUGCGGGAGUUUCUGGAGGAGGAGGAGAGGCGGCGUAGGAGGAGAGGAAGAGGAAGAGGCAGAGGCAGGGAGGGGGAGAGGAGGCAGCGGCGCGCGGCGAGGCUAGAGGCGGAGGGGAAGGCGCGGUAGGCGAAGUAGGCGGAGAAGGGGAGGCGGAAGGAGCUUCUGGAGGGGAGCAGCAGCAGCAGGAGGAGAGCAGGGGUGGGGCAGUAGGCGGUUUUAUAAAACAUUAUGUAAAAUUUGAUACAAAAUGUCACGCCCCGGGACCGGCGGAGGCCCUCCCGGUAGCGUGCCCAGACCCGCCAUAUGUCUACACAUAUAAGGCGUCUACAAUAAAAGCGGAAGUAAAAGCAAGUAAUAGAACAAAUAGAAGAAGUGAAAUAAUGAGCAGCUAAUGAUAUCAGAGCGAGUAAAGUUCUAACAUCUACACCAAGGUAAAAAAGAAUAAAGCUAGACAAUAAAAGAAAUCAUAAGUAGUACAAUAUCUGUCCCAAAAGUACAAAAACGGUGGUCUCUAAUACACUGGUAGAACUCUCAACCUCUCGCAAAAGGAACAAAAAAUCGAGAGGUAGACCACCUAGCAACUCGUCCUCGAAGGAAGCUAGCUCGAAGCAACUCCCUUCCCGCGAUUCCUGGCCUCACCCUGAGUGGAAGGCUCUGAAAAACAUCGAGAAAAAGAGGGCAUGAGAACUAUAAUUUAUAAUUCCCAGUGGGCAAUUACUGACCUCAGCUCAAUGCACCACUAGGCCCCAAAAGAAGAGGGUAAGUACAAUAAUAAUAGCAAUAAAUAGCGAACACGAAACUGCUGAAGGAAGCAUGAAUGAAAUGCUAUGCUACUAUGUCUCCAAUAAGCAUGAUGUUAUGGUAAUGUACAUCUACGCUAUCAUAAGGUAAUAUAUAUCCGAUGCAUACUAAUAUGUCUCAACAUAAAAAGCAAGUAAACCUCACGAUGCCAUAUGUCAAUGCAUAAGGGUAAACUUUAUCCAAACAACCGAGUAUGCUACGAUGCGAUAAUGAAACCGGCAAGUAUACUAAAUGUACCAAUGCUAUAUCAUAAGCGUGUCCAAGUAAUCCAACUACUAAUCCUAUCUAGUAGUGAUUGUUCAUAUUCAACACCGUGUCGAUUUCCAUUUCCAAUUAAGGACCUACCAAAGGUAGUCCAGCUUGUGCCGCCUAAGUGCCUGUGGUAGCCCGACAUUCCUACUCUUGGAAUGUGUCUGUCCCACUCGGCCCCGUAGGCUUCUCAAUACCGCACGAGCGAACGUAGUCGCGUAGGCUAACUCCGGAGUGCCGGCUUGUAGGGAGCGACCCUCACAAGCAUGUGCGAAUGAGCACAAAUGGCAAGCAAGCAUGGUCCAAGUCUCAAGUAUCCAAUUCUCAUGUCUCUAACAUGGUAUAGUCACUAGCAUCCCGAAGACCUAGUUUAAGUCACAAUGUGAAAUUUCAACAUUUGCUACGCCUAGUGCCCCUUGAUGACACUUAGGCAAUUUGAUGUUCGACAUGUUUUCCAAAUCCCUCAAUGGCCCUAUCCACUAAAUUCACACAAGUCCUGAGCUCAAUGCCGCUUGAUGACAUUAGCUCUCCAAUUCACAUGAUAUCAAGUUCGAUGCCUACAUAUGAAGCAAUUGUCAUCUUUCAUGUCUCAAUUAAACUUAUGUUUAAACGCAUGAAUCAUAGCUCAUUUACUCUCUAGAACCAUGAAAUCAAACCCCAUAUAGAAUGCUAAAUGCAACCCAAGAUCUCCCAAACAACUCUCUACUACAUAGAGGUCCAAAGAUACAUCAUAUAUAACAUAUGCAUUUUAAGCAUUCUAAAAAUCAUAAUAAAUACAUUUAAUAUGAAAAUGCAUGAAUUAAUUAGUAACAAAGCACUUAUCACCAAAUAUGAGAUUUUCUCAUAUCAAAGGCUAGGUCAAACCCACCGACGACAACGAAGCUUUUCGUUUGCUCCAACGGAGGUUUCCACAAGCUUUCUAGCACCCUAAGAACAUCAAAAAGGGUGUCAUCCAAUCGAUACGAAGAGUAAUAAGCUCGAUCUUUAACCUAGGAGCAAAAAGGGUCAAACUCACCUCAAGAGUAGAAAUCUUCUCUUAAGCUCCAAAAGAGAGCUAGGGUUCAACCAAUCCAAGCCCAAGGAAGGUUCUAAACCCACCAAUCUAGUCUCUAAAGCCCUAGAAUCAAAAUCCCCAAAAAUAAACCCUAAGUAUCAAAUCUAGGGUUCCAACUCAAAAUUUAGCAAAAACAUGGAUCAAAGGCUCAAAUCAUGUUGCUAACCUCUCUAGAAGCUUGAGUAUUCUAUAGUGUCACCUAAAUAGCUUGGNUAAUAGAGAUGCCACAAUUGCGAAAAACCCCCUGCAGUUCAAACUGCUCAGAUUCUGCCAAAGUGUACCGGUACACGGGAAAGUGUACCGGUACACAUCCUACGAAAACGCAAACCCGAGGCUCGGGUUCGUAAUUUGCCACAAGUGUACCGGUACAACCAUCAAGCGUGUACCGGUACAAAGUGUGUACCGGUACGGCCAUCAAGAGUGCACCGGUACAUCUUGUGCAGAAUGCAAUCCGAGGGUAGGCUAAGUCCAACUUUUUUUGUGACCUUAGCGCUACAUAAAAUACUACAAUUCUCGGGACACGAGCCAUAGGUUGGAACACUGUCAACGACCCACCAGGAAGUCUGGAAAGACUCGGGACACUGUCCAAACACUCGAACCCCGCAAUUUGCAAAAGUCCAGUGCGUCACACAAAAAAUGUCUAAUAGUUCAACAUACAAAGUAAAUGCAUGAAAUACGAUAUUAUAAUAUUAAAAAAAUUAAAAAAAGCGACUCUACGAGGAAGUGAAAAAGAUGUAGAGAAAUUAUAGUAGUAUUUUGCUGGUUUUGUUUUGUGGGCCCAAUAAUCUAAAUUUUAUAUACAUAUAAUUAAAAUACAUAAUAUAUAUUAUUUUAUAUAAUUAAAAUAUAUAUUAUAUAUAAUUAUACUUUUAUGAGUAUAGACUCCUUUAUACUCAUAAGUUUUCGACCAUUAGAUCUAUUCUUUUGACUAUUUUCAUCCGUUUAAUCAUACUAUUCAAUGAACCACCCACUCAAUCCUAGGGGACCACUAUCAUCCUAAUCGCACAUCCAACGGCUAAAAAUUUAAAAUAUAAAGGGGUCUAUACUUAUAAGAGUAUAGUAGCCCGAGCCUAUAUAUAUAUAGAAUAGGCUACUAUAGUAUUAAUAGUACAAACCGCCUGCUAUUAGGUUUUCGGCCCUUUGAUGAAGGGAUGUGCGGUCAGGAUGAUAGUAGCCCCCUAGGAUUGAGUACGUAGGUGGCUAGUUGAAUAGUAUGAUCUAACGAAUGAAAAUGGCUAAAGAGAUAGAUCUAACGGCAGAAAACUCGAUAGCACCAAAUGCUUGAUACUAUCGAUAAUGUAGUAGCCGGACUCUAUAUAUAUGUAGUCAGAUCUAACGAUAGAAAACUCAAUAGUACAAAGUGCUUAGUACUAUUGAUAGUAUGGAUAGUAUAGUAGCCGGACUAUAUAUAUAGAGAGAGAGAGUCUGGCUACUAUAUUAUCGAUAGUACCAAAUGCUUGGUGCUAUCGAAUUUUAUGCCAUUAGAUCUAUCUUUUUGGCCAUUUCCAUCCAUUAGAUCAUAUUAUUCAACUAAUCACCCACUCAACCCUAGGGGAUCACUGUCAUUCUAACCGUACAUCCCUUCAUCCAAGGGCCGAAAACCUAAAAGCAAGUGGUUAGUACUAUUAAUAGUAUAGUAGACUAAUUUUAUAUAUAUAUAUAUAUAUAGAACUAGGCUACUAUACUAUCGGUAGCACGGAGGCCUCCGUGCUACCAAGUUGUUUUCAAUGAUGUGGCUUCCAAAUCGACGAUCGGCUCCGUUAGACUUGAUCUACACUAUUAAAAGUAUUUAGAAACUAAAUUUCAUAAUUUUUCGAUAUCAUUUACCUAUCAAACAAGUAGUCUAAAAUUGAACGGCUGAAAAUAAAAAUCUCAUAAAAAAUAAAGAUAAAAGAUUUAAAUUCAAGAUCAGAUAUACUGAUCUUACUCUAAAUAGUGAAAAGAAUUUUCUAUAAAAUUUUCAUCGUAUUUGGAUUGUUUUACACUGUUAAACUCACAAACACACCACAUCGGCCAUUAAAAUUGUCAAUUUUUAGAUCUUUUGAUCACUAGUCAAAUGAUGUCGAAAAAAUCUAAAAUUUAGUUCCAAAUACUUUCAAUAGUGUAGAUCAAGUCUAACGGAGUCGAUCGUCGAUUUGGAAGCCACAUCAUCGAAAAUAACUUGGUAGUACGGAGCCUUCCGUGCUACCGAUAGAUAUAUAUAUAUAUAUAUAUAUAUAUAUAUAUAUAUAUAUAAAACUAGGCUGGAAUACUAUCAAUAGCACCAAGCUAUUGAUGCUAUUAAUUUUUUAGCCCUUGGAAUGAGAAAUGUGUGGUUAGGAUGAUGUGGGCCCUCUAGGGUUGAGUGAGUGGUUGGUUGAAUAGUAUAAUCUAACGGAUAAAAAUAAUCAAAUGGUUAAAUCUAACGGUGGAAAACUAUAAUAUCCGAGAUUUUGAUAGUGUAGCUAAACCCUUUGUUGACGAUAUUUUUGUGUGUAAUGUAGUUACAUAACCACUCGUCAAGUUUCAGGGAAAAACGAGUUAGAUGGAGAAGUUACGCAACCGAUACUAAUCACUUAAAGUGAAUAGUAACUCCGGUUUUCUAGAGAAGCCAAUGAGUGGAGAAGGCUUUUGGUGUGUAUUGGACUCCGUUCAUAGUGAUCCAAUAGCUCGUUUUCGAUGGUUUGACUAUCCUGGACCCAAUGGCACUGACAGAUUUGGAUUCUGAUGCACGAUUUUCGAGAAAAAGAGUUUUAUUGGAUCUAUUUGUAUAGGUAUGGUUUUUGGAGAUUGGAGAGGGUUGGUUAUGUCGCAAUCGGUGAUCGAAUCGGACGAAACGAAAUCGUAGAUUCGAUGCCCCAGUCAUGCUGAGCGCGCUGGCGUGAUUCGUUUGGAAAUCCGACGGACGGAUCUGCGAGGAACGUGAAAAGUUCAUUGAGGGGUCGAAUUGGUAAAAAUGAAAAAUUCGUGAAAAGUCUAAUAUUUUAUGCGCCGUUUUGCGUGAAUUCGAACGUCGAGGGGCUCGUGUGCAAAAUACACGUACUGGCAGGGGACUUAGCUGUAAACGAUCAGCCUUGGGUGGACUUUUCUGCAAUUAUGCACAUAGUAUAUAAAGUGCAUCUAGGGUUUCCUUGCAUGAAACCCUAGAUUGAUUCCACCCUGAUCCCCCAGCUAACCCUAGCCAUCGCAGCACCCACCCACCUUGCUCGUGUGCACGCCCCUACCGUCGGCGGGCACCCCCGGUCACUGGAAAAGCCACGCCGACCUCCCUCUUCGCUCCUCCCUCUACCGUGCCUCCACCACUUCGGCCGUGAAGCUCAGGAGAACACCCCCUUGAGUCAAGUCUGAGUUCUCUGGCCAAGUCUUCCCCUCCGGCGUCAUCCUCGCCGGCUCCCGCCCUCCGCGUGCGCCGCUGGCGCCGCUAGGACUCGCUGCGGCCGCCCAGACCCAGAGCAGGCCGAGCCGAGAUCACCCUGGCCUCGGUGCGUUGCCUCUACCUAUGAUCGGUGGGGCCGGCCUCCGACAAUCUCCGGCAACACUCUGCUCGCCGUCCCGUCGUCCCGAAGCGCCGCCGGCCGCCCUCAGUGCUCCCUGCGGCCGCCCAGACUCAGUGCGGGCCGAGGCUGAGUCACCUCGGCCACCGCGUGUCGCUGCCGCCCAACGUCGACCACACCGCACUCCCUCGGUCGCCUUCGCCCUGAAGCUCCUCCGGCCGCCACUGCCUUCCCGAACCCGAAUUGAGCUGUUCGAGCUCGUGCUUUGCCCCCGCGCCAUUGGCCGCCUCCCGCAACCGGCCAGCACGCGCCCAACUCCUCUCCGACUGGCCGCGACCUCCCCCUGCCGGAGCGCCCGCCGUCCGGCCACCGCCGGUCACCCUCGGGCUCCUGCUUGCUCCAGUAAGUCUUUAACAGUAUUCUGCACUUUAUUUCGGGUUCCGGUCGCCUUUCCGCCGAUCCGAAGGCACCCCGAUAAUUCUGGAACUGAGCACGACGAUCUCUGAUCCGUGCUGAACAUCGUGCUCACCUCCGUUGGGGUCAGCGAUAACCCGGUUUGCAAGUUAGAUGCGAUUUAGGCGUUGUGCGCGCUGUUUCGCUGAAGUUCGCGUCGCUCGUACGCUUGCCUCAAUGGCCGGCAGUGCUCCGAAGCAUGAGCAUGGCCUCCGGUACGCCGAGACCUAUUAGCGGAUGUCUUGGCCUGGCUGAAUGACCCUCAGUUUGCACUGUCGGGUCAUAAAAGCCCGAAAAUCACAUAAAGUAAUGUGAUAUUAUGGGAUCGGGAGGGUUUUUACGCAAUUGUGCUUUUUGUGGUCGCUGUUGGCAGUGUGUGCGGGCAGUGGGUGACCUUUGGACUGAUUGUCCAAGACUCUAGGCCUUUUUAGAGAUCGAAAAUUGAUUUCCGGUGCGUUCUUUGGUGAAAUCCGCCGACGGAAUACGUUUUCGGUUCGGAAUUCUUCCGACGGUGCCUCGUGAUAAUUUGUGUCGUCGCUGAGCCUUGUUGGCUGGUUACCCGCUUCGUUUCGAGGGUUCGAAAACGACGGGUGAGUGACGGUGGGUUCCGGUGUCGAAUUGGACAUUUCCGGGAACCCGGAUCGGAGCGAUUAUCCAAUGAUAAUCGUUUCGGGGUGAGUUAGUGUAUUUGCUGCCAAGUCACAUGAACAUAUGUGUUUAGUGGCAGCGGGUGACUCAUAACAUGAGUCGGUGAAUUCUGGGACAGUUCGUGGGUCCCGGCGGAGUCUCGGUGCGGUUUCGGGACUUCCGGCGUGUUCGGCAAUCGGUUUUGGGAAACCGAUUCCGUAGGUUCGUUGGUGGGAUUGGUUUCGAGCUAGCUCUUCAGCAAGGGACAAGUUGCUAGGUGGUCUACCUCUCGAUGUAUUUUAUUUUGGGAGAGGUUGAGAGCUGUACCAGUGUACUAGAGACCACCCUUUGUGUACUUUUGGGACAGAUAUUGUACUAUCUUAUGGUUUACUUUUAUUGUUUAGUUGUAUCCUUUUACUUUUGUUAUAGAAAGUAGAAUCUUACUGCUCUGAUAUCAUUAGUUUUUGCUCUUUCCUUUCGGCUAUGUUUCUUGCUUUAUUUUCGCUGUUGAUGUAGACGCCUUAUAUGUGUUGGCAUAUGGCGGGUUUGGGCACACUACCGGGAGGGCCUCUGCCGGUCCCGGGGCGUGACAGAUUAGUUUGGUAUUAGAGACUAGGGUUGAGUCUUAGUGGACCUAGCAAACCUUAGGCCGGUUGGACUAUAGGAAUUAGGCUCGUGAGAGACGAGGUCUAAUUGACUUGUGCGCGAAAGUAUUAUGAUUGGGUUUUAUGACAACUCUAAAAAGUUAGAGUUUGAUCGAAGUGUAUGGCUUCUAACUUCGCGGAGGGUUACGUUGGCGGCUGAUAACGUAACAUCGGGAGUUAGUAGUGGAGGACACUUCCUUACUUUCGCACGAUUUGGGUUUUAUCUAUUUGAGCGGGGAUGCGGUAGCGUGGGUUACUAACUUGCGCUUUUAUGUUUUGUAGUGACGAUGCCGAUUACACGCUCCCAGUCUGCCGGAGCGGAUGAUGCAGCACACCCCGAGGAGGCCGAGACCUCCGCUACUUCCGGAUCUAGUGAGGUCCGUGACUUAAGGUCCCAGCUUGCAGUCCUCACCGAUCUGUUGGCACAGCAGGCGGCAGCGACGCAGCGACAGGCUGAGGUGGCUCAGCGGCAGGAGGCGCGGAUGAAGCAUCUUGAGGACCUCCUACUUCAGCAGGCGGCAGCUUCGAGGGAGACCCAGGUUCCCACACCGCCAGCACCCGUGGUGGACGUCGCACCGAGGGCGCAGUCCCCCGCGCCCAGUUCUUCACGUGCGGCACCGGCGACCACACCUCUUGAGGAGGUGGCUGCGGCACCCCCAGUUC